GGCUCAGAUUGAACGCUGGCGGCAUGCUUUACACAUGCAAGUCGAACGGUAACAGGCCUUCGGGCGCUGACGAGUGGCGAACGGGUGAGUAAUGCAUCGGAACGUGCCCAGUCGUGGGGGAUAACGCAGCGAAAGCUGUGCUAAUACCGCAUACGAUCUGCGGAUGAAAGCGGGGGACCUUAGGGCCUCGCGCGAUUGGAGCGGCCGAUGUCAGAUUAGCUAGUUGGUGGGGUAAAGGCCCACCAAGGCGACGAUCUGUAGCUGGUCUGAGAGGACGACCAGCCACACUGGGACUGAGACACGGCCCAGACUCCUACGGGAGGCAGCAGUGGGGAAUUUUGGACAAUGGGGGAAACCCUGAUCCAGCAAUGCCGCGUGAGUGAAGAAGGCCUUCGGGUUGUAAAGCUCUUUUGUCAGGGAAGAAACACCGGCUCUAACACAGUCCGGGAAUGACGGUACCUGAAGAAUAAGCACCGGCUAACUACGUG
rnacentral:rRNA from 1 species